UAGGGAAUCUUCCGCAAUGGACGAAAGUCUGACGGAGCAACGCCGCGUGAGUGAAGGAGGGUUUCGGCUCGUAAAACUCUGUUGUUAAGGAAGAAUGACACAUGGCGUAACUACCAUGUGUGUGACGGUACUUAACCAGAAAGCCACGGCUAACUACGUGCCAGCAGCCGCGGUAAUACGUAGGUGGCAAGCGUUAUCCGGAAUUAUUGGGCGUAAAGCGCGCGUAGGCGGUUUCUUAAGUCUGAUGUGAAAGCCCCCGGCUCAACCGGGGAGGGUCAUUGGAAACUGGGGAACUUGAGUGCAGAAGAGGAGAGUGGAAUUCCAUGUGUAGCGGUGAAAUGCGCAGAGAUAUGGAGGAACACCAGUGGCGAAGGCGGCUCUCUGGUCUGUAACUGACGCUGAUGUGCGAAAGCGUGGGGAUCAAACAGGAUUAGAUACCCUGGUAGUCCACGCCGUAAACGAUGAGUGCUAAGUGUUAGGGGGUUUCCGCCCCUUAGUGCUGCAGCAAACGCAUUAAGCACUCCGCCUGGGGAGUACGACCGCAAGGUUGAAACUCAAAGGAAUGAC
rnacentral:rRNA from 1 species